rnacentral:rRNA from 1 species
UAGGGAAUCUUUCACAAUGGGCGCAAGCCUGAUGGAGCAACACCGCGUGAGUGAAGAAGGGUUUCGGCUCGUAAAGCUCUGUUGUUGGAGAAGAACGUGCGUGAGAGUAACUGUUCACGCAGUGACGGUAUCCAACCAGAAAGUCACGGCUAACUACGUGCCAGCAGCCGCGGUAAUACGUAGGGUGCGAGCGUUGUCCGGAAUUAUUGGGCGUAAAGGGCUCGUAGGCGGUUUGUCGCGUCAGGAGUGAAAACUCGGGGCUUAACUCCGAGCCUGCUUCUGAUACGGGCAGACUAGAGGUAUGCAGGGGAGAACGGAAUUCCUGGUGUAGCGGUGAAAUGCGCAGAUAUCAGGAGGAACACCGGUGGCGAAGGCGGUUCUCUGGGCAUUACCUGACGCUGAGGAGCGAAAGUGUGGGGAGCGAACAGGAUUAGAUACC